AUUGAACGCUAGCGGGAUGCUUUACACAUGCAAGUCGAACGAGUGGCGGACGGGUGAGUAAUAUAUCGGAACGUGCCCAGUAUCGGGGGAUAACUACUCGAAAGAGUGGCUAAUAACGCAUACUAUUGGAGCAGCCGAUAUCGGAUUCGCUAGGUGGUGGGGGAAAGGCGCACCAAGGCAACGCUCCGUAGCGGGUUUGAGAGGACGACCAGCCACACUGGGACUGAGACACGGCCCAGACUCCGACGGGAGGCAGCAGUGGGGAAUGUUGGACAAUGGGGGAAACCCGGAUCCAGCCAUCCCGCGUGUAUGAGAAGGCCUUCGGGUGGUAAAGUACUUUUGGCAGAGAAGCGGUAUCUGCAGAAUAAGCACCGGCUAACUACGUGCCAGCAGCCGCGGUAAUAC
rnacentral:rRNA from 1 species